GGGAGCUUGCUCCCUGAUGUUAGCGGCGGACGGGUGAGUAACACGUGGGUAACCUGCCUGUAAGACUGGGAUAACUCCGGGAAACCGGGGCUAAUACCGGAUGGUUGUCUGAACCGCAUGGUUCAGACAUAAAAGGUGGCUUCGGCUACCACUUACAGAUGGACCCGCGGCGCAUUAGCUAGUUGGUGAGGUAACGGCUCACCAAGGCGACGAUGCGUAGCCGACCUGAGAGGGUGAUCGGCCACACUGGGACUGAGACACGGCCCAGACUCCUACGGGAGGCAGCAGUAGGGAAUCUUCCGCAAUGGACGAAAGUCUGACGGAGCAACGCCGCGUGAGUGAUGAAGGUUUUCGGAUCGUAAAGCUCUGUUGUUAGGGAAGAACAAGUGCCGUUCAAAUAGGGCGGCACCUUGACGGUACCUAACCAGAAAGCCACGGCUAACUACGUGCCAGCAGCCGCGGUAAUACGUAGGUGGCAAGCGUUGUCCGGAAUUAUUGGGCGUAAAGGGCUCGCAGGCGGUUUCUUAAGUCUGAUGUGAAAGCCCCCGGCUCAACCGGGGAGGGUCAUUGGAAACUGGGGAACUUGAGUGCAGAAGAGGAGAGUGGAAUUCCACGUGUAGCGGUGAAAUGCGUAGAGAUGUGGAGGAACACCAGUGGCGAAGGCGACUCUCUGGUCUGUAACUGACGCUGAGGAGCGAAAGCGUGGGGAGCGAACAGGAUUAGAUACCCUGGUAGUCCACGCCGUAAACGAUGAGUGCUAAGUGUUAGGGGGUUUCCGCCCCUUAGUGCUGCAGCUAACGCAUUAAGCACUCCGCCUGGGGAGUACGGUCGCAAGACUGAAACUCAAAGGAAUUGACGGGGGCCCGCACAAGCGGUGGAGCAUGUGGUUUAAUUCGAAGCAACGCGAAGAACCUUACCAGGUCUUGACAUCCUCUGACAAUCCUAGAGAUAGGACGUCCCCUUCGGGGGCAGAGUGACAGGUGGUGCAUGGUUGUCGUCAGCUCGUGUCGUGAGAUGUUGGGUUAAGUCCCGCAACGAGCGCAACCCUUGAUCUUAGUUGCCAGCAUUCAGUUGGGCACUCUAAGGUGACUGCCGGUGACAAACCGGAGGAAGGUGGGGAUGACGUCAAAUCAUCAUGCCCCUUAUGACCUGGGCUACACACGUGCUACAAUGGACAGAACAAAGGGCAGCGAAACCGCGAGGUUAAGCCAAUCCCACAAAUCUGUUCUCAGUUCGGAUCGCAGUCUGCAACUCGACUGCGUGAAG
rnacentral:rRNA from 1 species